rnacentral:rRNA from 1 species
UACCCUUACGUCUGGGGCUACAAACACGCUACAAUGGCCGGUACAAUGGGCAGCGAAAUCGCGAGAUGGAGCAAAUCCCACCAAAGCCGGUCCCAGUUCGGAUAGCAGGCUGAAACUCGCCUGCUUGAAGUCGGAAUCGCUAGUAAUCGUAGGUCAGCACACUACGGUGAAUACGUUCCCGGGUCUUGUACACACUGCCCGUCAAGCCAUGGGAGUCACCAAUACCCGAAGUCUCACAUUCGUGGGCCUAAGGUAGGGGGGAUGACUGGGGUUAAGUCGUAACAAGGUAUCCGUACCGGAAGGUGCGGAUGGAUUACCUCCUUU